UUGGAGAUAAAUGUCAAGGUCUGGUUUAUGCUGUUUUGUUUUUUGUUUUUCAUUCUUGUAGAAAAAUUUCCACAAAGGAUAAUUUGCCUUUUGACUUUAAUUACUUUGCUUACCAUUUAAAAAAAAGAAAUUCUUAUGACACAAGUUUGAACUUGGUCUUUAUCUUUUUAUUGUUUUUAAACUUUGAAUUUCCACUCCAUCCAAUAUCUGUUAAAUACUUUCAUAAGGCAUAGUCUGUUCCCAGCCUUAAGAUUUUUUUAGUAUUUAUCUCUAUUUUCUUCUUGGAGAUUUCUCAUGGAAUUAUAUACAUAAUGUAUAAUAUUAUAUAUGCAUAGACACAUAUAAUAUUAUAUAUUCACAUACACAAAUAUAUAAACAUAUAAAUAUAUACAUACAUGUAUAUAUAACUUGGAAUUUAUUUUCAUCUGCAGUAGCAGAUAAAGAUAAAAAUAUUUCCAGGUAGUUGUAUUCAAGUAUAUCUAAAGUCAAGGGGCAAUGAGAUGAGAAUUUAGAAAGUCCACUAAACCUUGUAAUUAAGAGAUUAUUAUUGAUCAUAUGGAAAAUUAUUCACAUGAGGGAUUUUGACACUUAAAUGGUGCUCCUCCUUCCCUUCCCAGUUUUGGUCUUAGAAAAUAAGGGGCUAGGAGCAUAGAAAUCGGAAACACGCGAUAAUGGGCGCCUUGGCCUCAGAGAGGACUAUAAAUAAGUACAGUAUUUGAGAAGUAUUUUAGGGAAUGGUGAAAUUUAAAGAGCUAUCUUUCAUCAGUAGUCAUAAGAGUCACAGAAGCAGGAAUCAACUCAUCCAGCUGUUUGUCCAGUGCCUGGCACAUAGUAGGUGCCAGCAUUUACUGAUUUCUUUGCUGGGUAUUAGAGCCUAAUGACAAGCUUAAACAAUAUUGCUCAAGCCUGGUCAGAAAUAGAGUUUCAGAACUUAGCAACUUUUGGAAGCUUGAGAUUUACUUUUAUUGACAUGAAAAUUUGAAUGUAUAAUAAAAAUAAUUAACUUUCUAAUAUUAAGACUGUACUUGGUGGUAGAGUGCUUGUUAGAUAUAUAGAAUGUAUGAGAUUCUGAGUUCAGUUCCAGGCAGGCAGGCAGGCAGGCAGGCAGGUGUGCGCUCUUUUCAUGUGAGCCCUGCUUGAGGUCUGUAUUUUCAUAGUGCUGCCCAUCUCUAGCUUUGAUACCUUUUGUGGUGUGUGAGUUCUUCUUUGAUUAUCCUGUGUUAAAAAUCCAAAUGUUAAGGCUUUUGUUAGAAUUUGUGUCAGCAAUAAAAUCUUAACAAGUUCUAAUGAGAAUAUUAAGCAGUCCAGAUUUCGGCUCUGUGCCUGUGCUUUUUCAUAAGGUGAGUAUUUAUUUAUCUUGAGCUCGCUGUGAUUGAUCUAUGAGCUGCCUUAUCUGACUUGUUUCCUUAGUCUCUGUGAUCUCAGUGAUCCAAAAGACUCAGUGUCAUGUUAAUGUAGUGCAGGUAUUUAACUUUAGUAAGGCUUAAUAAAGUUCUUAUGUAAAGUUUUCAAGUUAAGACAAAAGAAAUGUAUGCAUUACUAAAAUAAUUACAGUAUUAGUAAAGCGAAAUAUGGCCAUCAAGCAUUUCUGUUAAGAUUCCUUUCUUGUUUUUGUUUCUGUUUUGUAGACAUACAUGUUAGAUGUGAAAUGAAUUAGAAAGAUAUGCAGUGCUCUAGAACGUGACCAUGCCGUUUUUCUUUUAGGGUGGGGAAUGAAGACCAGCAGCCAGAAGUUCCAAUUCUUUAUCAUGAUGUGACAUCCCUUCUGCUCAUCCAGAUCUUAAUGAUGCCACAACCCUUACGUAAAGGUAGGUCUUUAAUUCAGACCCUCAGAUUACUUUUGGAAUAUUCUAGAGAUUCUAGGGGACAAAUAGGACAUCCAGGCUGACAGAAUGACCGUGAGAAUGAUGGAGAAAAGCUUUAACUAAGCAGUGAAGACCAACCUUAGAUGUGGCAGGCCGCCGUGCAUAGACUGGACCCCUAACUGAAUCUAGCAGAGGAAGCCAGCUGUGCACUGCUGUUGCGUCCCCCCAGUCCUCUCCCACUGCUCCUUCCUUACAGAUAAUGGGACAGGGUGCCCUGUGUGCCUGCUUUCUUGCUGGGAGGGACUCUUCCUCAAACUGUAAAUCAAGUAAAAUCUUUCUCC
rnacentral:lncRNA from 1 species